UUAUAAAAUCAUUUCAAUUGUUUUACUAAUUUGUUGUACACAACAAAUCUUUUCGGAAAAUGAUGCCAUACGGGCUGUCAAAGAGUUUAAGGCUAAAAGCGAUCCCAAUGUCUACGACAAAGAUAUUAAUCCGAAAUUAGGCCAAAAUUCAUCGGUCAAUGUUGGCAUCACUUUGUAUGUUAUUAGCAGUAAAAUCAAUCCAAUU